GAGGGUGGGGGGAGGAGGA
rnacentral:miRNA from 1 species